CAAAGGAAAAAAGUAGAGACACGAUAGGGAGGAGCGAGAGAUGCAUACUGGCAUCGACAACAAUGGAAUGAUUCCGAUGGUGAUAGAUGGCACGGAAGAGAACUCACAGUUGCAGCACCGAGAGCGGCCAGCAACGGUCUUGGUGCGAUGAUUCUGUAUGCUCUGCUUAUGUAAAGCUUCUUUGUCUGGUGUGGAGUUGUUGAUGCAGAAAAUCCAGAACCUCAUUGUUGUUGUCGGGAUUCUAUUUGCAUUUCGCUAAAAGAGUAAUUUAGAAACUAAGGCAAAAGAAGUUCUUGCUGUGUAGCUACUGUGGAAGGUUUCCAUAAUAUCUAUAA